CCUACGGGUGGCUGCAGUAGGGAAUAUUGCUCAAUGGGCGAAACCCUGAAGCAGCAACGCCGCGUGGAGGAUGAAGGUCUUCGGAUUGUUAACUCUCUUUGUUAGAGAAGCUAUUGACGGUAUCUAUCGCAUAAGCACGGGGAAAUGCAGUGACAGCAGCCGCGGGAACACGGAGGGUGCACGCGGUACUCGGAAUCACUGGGGGUAAAGAGGGAGUAGGUGGGAUAGCAAGUUACAUGUGAAAGCCUAUGGCUUAACCAUAGAACCGCAUUUGAAACUGGUAUUCUAGAGUAUGGGAGAGGUAGGUGGAAUGCGUGGUGUAGCGGUGAAAUGCGUAGAGAUCAAGCAGAAUACUCAUUGCGAAGGCGGCAUGCUGGAACAUAACUGACGCUGAUGCGCGAAAGCGUGGGGAGCGAACAGGAUUAGAUACCCGGGUAGUC
rnacentral:rRNA from 1 species